rnacentral:rRNA from 1 species
UGCGUAGGCGGAUUAAUAAGUCAGUGGUGAAAUCUUUCGGCUCAACCGGGAAACUGCCAUUGAUACUGUUAAUCUUGAGUUCGGUUGAGGUAGGCGGAAUGUGUAAUGUAGCGGUGAAAUGCUUAGAUAUUACACAGAACACCAAUUGCGUAGGCAGCUUACUAGACCGACACUGACGCUGAGGCACGAAAGCGUUGGUAGCGAACAGGAUUAGAUACCCUGGUAGUCC